GAUUUAUAGAUGCAAGGAACAAAUCGAGAAAAAGGUACUCAAUUGGUGCUAUAUUUUGGCUUUUUACGCUUCUUUUGUUGGGUUGUUCAAUAGUUGAGCUUCUCAGAAAUGUGUAUUGGCCAAUAG